UGGAACAACUAUGGCUGGUACUAUGGACAGCCAGCUACCGUCUGGUCCCUGGGCAUCCUGCUGCACCAGAUGGUCUGCGGGGAGCACCCUUUCAGGAGGGGCCACAGGAUCAGCUGGGACCAUCAGCUCUCGCUGCCACCACGGCUCUCUCAAGAGUGUCAAGAUGUCAUCAGGCGGUGUUUAUCCAUUCAUGAUGUGGACAGGCCUUCAGUAGAAGACCUGUUCUGUCAUCCUUGGAUGCAGGAUAUUCAUCUGCCAUAGAAGAAGGGACAGAGCCACAGGCACACUGAUGCAGGGCUCUGGGAAGGAGAAGGAGCCCCUGGAGAAGCUGUGCCAGGGGGGGCUGCUGCUGCUGGAGACAGCCAGGAUGACAUCAAGGAUGACAACCUCUUCCUUGACCAGGCCACCACAAAGCUGAAGCUGAUGGACUUCGAUUCUGGCACCUUCUUCAAAGCCAGGCUCCACAGAG